GACGAACGCUGGCGGCGUGCCUAACACAUGCAAGUCGAGCGGAGAUUUCUUUGGCACUGAGUACUCUAGUAAAGACGCAAAGGAAGCGUCAUGAAGAAACAACAUAGAUGUUAAAAACACUGAUAAAAGUUUCUUCAUCACGCGUUUUUAAAGUGCCAACACAAAGAGGGAAGGAUAAGUAGAGUAUUGAGUGCCAAAGAAAUCUUAGCGGCGGACGGGUGAGUAACACGUGGGCAACCUGCCUUGAAGUGGGGGAUAACACCGGGAAAUCGGUGCUAAUACCGCAUAACAUACACAAACUGCAUGGUGAGUGUAUCAAAGGAGCAAUCCGCUUUAAGAUGGGCCCGCGGCUGAUUAGCUAGUUGGUAAGGUAACGGCUUACCAAGGCGACGAUCAGUAGCCGACCUGAGAGGGUGACCGGCCACACUGGAACUGAGACACGGUCCAGACUCCUACGGGAGGCAGCAGUGGGAAUAUUGCGCAAUGGGGGAA
rnacentral:rRNA from 1 species